ensembl:lncRNA
UUUCACUUCUGUAUGAAACCCUUUCUUUGGGUUCAGGAGGGAAGAGCCCCUCUUAGAUGUGAACCCAGGGACUUUGUGCACAGUGGCUGACUGGGUAAUCAUUAGGUUUUCUGUAUCUCAGUUUAUGUAGCAGAGAACACAAACAUAAUUUAUAAGGGAGCCUCAAAAAUUCUUGUCAGAUAUGCCAAUAAAGGCAAAAUGUAUAAAAAUGAACUUUCAGAAUAAGAUUGACAUUGACUUAGUUUUCAAAAAUAAAUAAGAUGCCUAACACCUUUUUAUUUGUUAAUUAUGGUCUUCUAAGGAUAUUAGCAAUGUUUGAAUUUUCUAAAAAUCAUGUAGUUGCUCCACAGGAACAUGAAAAAACCCAUGCUAUGUUCUUCCAUGAAAGACCUGCUGGUCUGCAUCUGUCUCUCUUGUUCUUUAUAAGGGUUUUGUUUGGUUAGUUGGCUUUGGUUGUGCUUUGUGAUUGUUUGAUUUGGUUUGGCUGUUGUUUUGAGAUUGUUUCUCAUUAUGUAGCCCUGGCUUGCCUGGAACUUGUUGUGUAGAUCUGGCUAACCCUCAACUCACAGAGAUCCUCCUGCCUCUGCCUCUGGAGUGCUGGGAUUAAAGGUGUUGGCCCCACACUGGGCUCCUUUCUUCUUUCUUUCUUCUAGUUCCUAGUGCUAAGAACUGUAAAUAAAGCACACAGGAAGCUGUGACAGAGCUCAUGGGUAAUGUUCUUCCCAGGCCUGAGCAAGGCCCUAGGCUUGAGCCACAAUAGACAGAAAACAGAAGAGCUACACUGACCGAUUUUGCUGAUGCUUUAAUGAAAAUGCAGGUGCUGUUACUUUCGGAACCAUUCCUACAUUUUCCCAUGGAUGUGAAUUUAGAGAUUUUCAGACUAAAUUACUUUGGGACACAGCCUCUAAUUCAAAGAAGAAACUCUGUGCAUUCAAGCUCCAGGGAAAGGAAUCCUGGGGUUUCAGCUUUGUUUUCCUAAACAAAGUCGGGAGGUAAACCGCAGCUUCUGACCACAGAUCUAAACAUUCAGAAAGCUAACUGAACCAGCUCACAUGUAAACAGCAAGGGAUUAAUACCGUGCUUCUGAAACAGACUCGAAUGGGUUCUGUGAGAUUUCAUCACACAAAAUGCAGCAAUGGUUGUUCCCAGAAAUAAGUAAAAGAAAACUAACAAGAAGUUGUCUUACUUCUGCCUUUCAUUCUCUCAGCCUAAACCAAAGUGGACACAGCAAACACAUGCCAAGGAAGAAAGAGUCCUAAAGGGCAGGGGCGGCUCUAAGGUAACGGGAUAGACAGACACGACCCGGAGCAGGAAGGGAUGAUUUCCGAGAAACGGAGGGUCACCUUGUAUAUCCUGGGAUGGUCUCUAAUUUAUUAAGUAGCCAAGGGUAGCCUUGAAUUCACAAGGACCCUCCUACUUCUGUCUCCUGAGUGCUGGGAUUACAGUCCACAUUGAGGAUUCUCCAGUCACACUGAGAAGACGCAGCAGUUUGAGGCCUGGUGAAGAGCUCGUGCGUGGAUCAGCCCUUUCAACCCAAGCUAGAGGAGAGCCUUCAUCCAGUAACUGAUGGAAGCAGAUGCAGAGACCCACAGAGAUCAAACAAUCCUGCUGAAGAGAGGAAGGAAGGAUUGUAGGAGCCAGAGUUGUCAAGGACAUCACAAGAAAACCCGCAGAAACAACUAACCUGCCUCAUAGGAGCUCACAGAGUCUGAAUCAAGAACAGCGAGCCUGCAUGAGCAUCUCACAGCCCACGAAGCUGAAGUGGAGAACAAAAGCACCUGCGUCUGCUCCAGGCACCAAGUCAGAACAAUGCUGAAUUGUUUUAGGAUGCUUUCUCAGCAGAAUAAAGCAAGAAAGAUGCUUCCCGUUUUAGGCCAUAGGGUUCAGUGUUUCAAUCUCCGAGACGAUACAACAAUAAUUACCGAUGCCUCUGUCCUUCUUAGUAGAGCAUUCUGAUAUUGUAGCUACAUACAGUUCCUGAGAACUGGUACUGGGAACAUCACCAGUACAGCUGCUGUUUACCAGACGAGCAAAUCCAAGGA